GGGUCAGUAGGUUGGUCGUGCCACCGGUACGUUCUGGUCUCACUGAUUCCUCCUUCCUGAAGAACCGUAAUGCCAUUAAUUUGGUGUUGCGGGGAAACAGGACUGUUACUUUGAAAAAAUUUGAGUGUUUAGAGCAAGCUAACGCUUGAAUACAUUAGCAUGGAAUAAUGAAAUAGGACGAUCGAUCCUAUUUUGUUGGUUUCUAGGAUUGACGUA
rnacentral:rRNA from 1 species